GCGCCCCGCGCGCCCCGCAUUGACAUGGCCGUCGCCCGAGUCCGCGCGUCCGCCGCGCGCCGGCCGUUAAUGGGCAUGCUCCCUGAGUGCCCCGCACCGAUAUGGCGGCCGUCGUCCCUGGGGUGACUUUAACUCUCGGUUUUCGGUUAUAGCCGGCCGGCGCUCACUUGUCUUGAGGAAGCUCAGAGCCUUUGGUGGAGCCGGGGAGAGGAAGGGUGGGUGCAAGCGUGAAAGGCGAGAGGGGACUGCAGGCAUCCGGGCCGGCUCCUGGCCGGAGCAAGAUGGCUGAGGGCGAGCGGCAGCCGCCACCAGAUUCUUCGGAGGAGGCCCCUCCAGCCACUCAGAACUUCAUCAUUCCAAAAAAGGAGAUCCACACAGUUCCAGACAUGGGCAAAUGGAAGCGUUCUCAGGCAUACGCUGACUACAUCGGAUUCAUCCUUACCCUCAACGAAGGUGUGAAGGGGAAGAAACUGACCUUCGAGUACAAAGUCUCUGAGCUUCCAGGGCAGCCCCUACUGACAGUGGACACCCAGGAAAGCAAGAGCUCCUCUUCUCCUGCAGCCAUUGAGAAACUAGUUGCUCUUCUCAACACGCUGGACAGGUGGAUUGAUGAGACUCCUCCAGUGGACCAGCCCUCUCGGUUUGGGAAUAAGGCAUACAGGACCUGGUAUGCCAAACUUGAUGAGGAAGCAGAAAACUUGGUGGCCACAGUGGUCCCCACCCAUCUGGCAGCUGCUGUGCCUGAGGUAGCUGUUUACCUAAAGGAGUCAGUGGGGAACUCCACGCGCAUUGACUACGGCACAGGGCAUGAGGCAGCCUUUGCUGCUUUCCUCUGCUGUCUCUGCAAGAUUGGGGUGCUCCGGGUGGAUGACCAAAUAGCUAUUGUCUUCAAGGUGUUCAAUCGGUACCUUGAGGUUAUGCGGAAACUCCAGAAAACAUACAGGAUGGAGCCAGCCGGCAGCCAGGGAGUGUGGGGUCUGGAUGACUUCCAGUUUCUGCCCUUCAUCUGGGGCAGUUCACAGCUGAUAGACCACCCAUACCUGGAGCCCAGACACUUUGUGGAUGAGAAGGCGGUGAAUGAGAACCACAAGGACUACAUGUUCCUGGAAUGUAUCCUGUUUAUCACUGAGGUGAGGAGGAGGGGUGAGAGAGAAGCCCAUGGCUGCCUCCAGGCUUAGAUGAACCAAGGAUGGUGGCUUUACAGUGGAUCAGAAGAGCCAGAGCUGCUGCCCAAAAUGGCAGGGCCGGCCGGAGUGGGUUAUUGAAAAGGAAGCACCACUGGGCCUCUCCUGAAAGAGUCAGCCGCUGCUGUCAGGGCCUCUGCCCAGUUCUCCUUCAGUUUCUCCUGAACACCACAGGAAUCUCAAGAUGAGGGUCUAAGACUUGGUCACUAACUGGCCUUAGUGACUGCUGCAGCAGGUCUGAAAGGGUCAGGGUGGGGGAGAUUUGUGGGGGAGGGUCAGCGUCUUUCAGUGGAGCCCCACAAGGGUCUGUAGAACCAUGUGCUUGUGGGUGUGUAAAAUGAAACCACCAGGGGAGAUGGAGCGAACCUCUGGCACAGACAGCUUUUCUGUCGAAAGGACAUGUCUCUGUCAGUGCCUGAGGACGUGGGCCCGAGCAAAGUGCCAGUGUGGGAGUAUGCAGGCCUGGCCUGUCGUGGCAGUCACUGGACAGCCAGCCCCAUGGCUGGGCUCUGGAACUGGAAGUUCUUGUCUUACCAAGGCAGGAUUCCUUAUAGUGGGCCCUGGACCACUUGUGCAAGAUCUCCUAGGGUGUUUGUUAAAAUGCACAUUCCUGGGUCCCCCAUCCCAACUUAUUGCAUCAGAAUCUUAGGGGACAAGAGCUAGGAACCUGCAUCUAAACACACUUGCCAGGUGACUGCACAGGAAAGCUGGGACCCUGUGCUCUCUGGACAUCUCUUCAGGGAGAUGUUAGGACUUUUCAUCCUCCCUGCCAUCCCCGUGCCCCAAUUUCCAAAGGGUGCCCUAGCUCUGCUAUCUGGAGAGGGUUUGAGAGUUCUAUCCCUCCUCAGUUCCUUUCCUGACACCAGCACGGAUGUCUGCUGCCUCAGUGAGGUCCUUAGCAGGCCUGUGGACGCUGGCCAUGGGGGCUGCUGUCUGUCCGGGCUGUGUAUUCCGAGCCCCCGAAGAGGUGGAGAAAGCUGGGUUAUAACCAGCAACCUUGGCUCCAAGCUCUUCCUGGUCAACAUUCGGCUCAGGCUUCUGCCAAACUCCAGGGGCCAGAGGGGAAUGACACAUUUUUUCCAAGUCAGCAAAUGGAGCCGGGCCUGAUGGCUGGGCGGCCACCGCUUCAUUCCCGGAGAUCUGCUGCCCUCAGCAGUGUGGCAGGCCCAAGGUCGGGAGGACUCGGGGGCAGCCUGGCUCACUGCCUUGAAAGCCAGUCACGCGCUGCUCUCUGUGGAGUGGAAUGUGGGGGUCUGUGGAGCCCUGGGGGACCUCAGGAUAAGCUGGAGGAGCAGGGUGGGAAGAAGGGUGCAGAUUCCACACUUGAGCUCUUGCCUGUGACUGAAAGGCUGAGCUGUUUGGGCUCCCCCCGGCGGCUGGCCAGGCCUCUGGGUCCCUGUCUAUAUUCUAACUAGGAGGCAGGCCAGGCCUGGCCUCCAGGAUUUUGGGAAUUGAUUCCAUGGUAAAAGUUUGUGUCUUUAGUUGGUUGGCUGAUGAUGUUGGUAUAAAAACCCCAAAAGCUUUUCCAAAGUUUGGGACCCAGUUCCUCCACUAGAGGAAAUCUCAAAGUAGCCACUAGGUGGCAGGAGAGGCACAUUGAACUUGGAGAGGGUUUGGUUACAUUUAUUUGAGGCCUCAGAAGGAACGGGGAGGGGAGGGCGUGCCUAGAGUUUUUGGCUGUUCCGCACCUUCUCCACAGGGCCGGGUUUUCACUUUGGGUCUAGGCUCUUGGGCAUGGUGUUCAACAGUGGGCGCUAGGAGGAGUGUGCCCAGGAGCUGAGGUGGCUGCAGCAAGGGCCCAUCUUGCCACGUGGCCGCUGGUUGCAGCACAGAUUGUGUUGGUUCUCCAGAGCGCCCACCCUCUUCCACCUCGGAGCAGUGAGCAGCAUUUUGCAGCCCCUAGUUGAUGAAGACUGGCCCAUUUGCAGAGCACUCCAACCAGCUGUGGAACAUCAGCGCUGUCCCUUCCUGGUCCAAAGUGAACCAGGGUCUCAUCCGCAUGUAUAAGGCCGAGUGCCUGGAGAAGUUCCCUGUGAUCCAGCACUUCAAGUUCGGGAGCCUGCUGCCCAUCCAUCCUGUCACGUCGGGCUAGGAGGGGCUGAGCCGAAGAGCCACCCAGGCCACAGUUCCUGUGCCUGCCUUCCCCACCCCAGCAGUGGCCCCUCCCCAUUCCCUCCCUCUGUUCGUCCCGUUUGAUGAGAGGCUGUUUACUGGGGUGAGGUGGUGAGACGGGCUUGAGGGGGCUUGGAGCAUAAGGCUUCAGGGCCCAAGUUGGGAGAAGUGACCAAAGUGUAGCCGGUUUCCUGAGCUCCCCUGUGCUGGACUGACCAGAAGAGAGGGUCUGGGGCCCGGACACUCGGCCACCCUCUCCUCUUCCUGGCCUCUUCUCCCUUUGUUCCUGUCCAGUCUGGUUUUGAGAGCAGGGGCUGUUCUGCAGCA